rnacentral:lncRNA from 1 species
CACAAUGUUGCUAGGAUAUUAGGAUGUCAACAGAAUGAAACGCUACCAUCAUGAGUACCAAAAGGAAAGACCAAGAAGGGAACUGAGCUGCAGAUUGUGAGAAGAAACUGAAUUUAAAACAAAUUUCAGAGGAAAGGUAACUUGUAAAACAAGGCCUCAGAAUUACAAGUGGACUCAAAAUCUAAGCACUGGGUCUUCUCUUCCCAGGCAAUUGUACCAUCAAUUGGCAGACUUCCUAAGUGCUAACUCUAUUGUGUUGAUAAAAGCUGAAAGAUGAACCAAAAAAAGAAAAAACAUGUAGCAUUCUGCUAUCCUGUCCAAAUUCCUAGCAAACAAAUCCAUCCAUCUCCUUGCCAACCAGUCUCUUCCUUCUUUUUGAAUCCUGCAGUACUGAAGGGCUUGAAUCCAUCACAACAAGGCUACCUGAACAGCAUUGCGAGAAUUUAUGAUUCCAAGCCCCAGUGGAAGAACCUGAAAUGGCAGUAUAUUCUCAGUCUUCUCUACAAAUAUGCCCUAGGUUAUAUUUCCAAAAAGAACGUCAUGUCUUAUGUGACUGUUAUGGAUCAGUAUACUAAAAAAGGACCUGUCAAGUACAGAAGUAAAAACUACAAGUCUCAGAAGAUCCCUACUUUCACCUCUUCAAGAAAGUCUCUGUCCUCACAUUCAUAGUCUAUUCUUAAGCACUGCUCUUAGUGGGCAAGGCUCUGAGCACAUUUCAAGAUGGAGUCUGGCAAUCAUGACCUCAUUGACUCCAUAAUAAGAUCCUAAGCUACUUUAGGAAUGAUCUCUCCCAACUCUGUUCAGGCUGAUUGUGAAGUAGAGCCAUAGGAUUAAUAGUUUUACCCAUUGAGUUGUACUAAUGAAGUAUAGAUUACAAACAAGGGGGCUUUUAAUCUGCCUUGACCUUUGCCUGUGCAACAUGGUGAAAUUCGGAGGUAUUAGGGAGGCCCAGGGAAUAAACAUAUCUGCCUGUACA